rnacentral:rRNA from 1 species
UACGUAGGGUGCGAGCGUUAAUCGGAAUUACUGGGCGUAAAGCGUGCGCAGGUGGUUGUGUAAGUCAGAGGUGAAAUCCCCGGGCUCAACCUGGGAACUGCCUUUGAGACUGCACGGCUAGAGGAUAGCAGAGGGGGGUGGAAUUCCACGUGUAGCAGUGAAAUGCGUAGAGAUGUGGAGGAACACCGAUGGCGAAGGCAGCCCCCUGGGCUAUUACUGACACUCAUGCACGAAAGCGUGGGGAGCAAACAGGAUUAGAUACCCUGGUAGUCCACGCCCUAAACGAUGUCAACUGGAUGUUGGGAGGGUUAAACCUCUUAGUGUCGUAGCUAACGCGUGAAGUUGACCGCCUGGGGAGUACGGCCGCAAGGCUAAA